rnacentral:lncRNA from 1 species
CGAAGUCAGUUGAUUCAGAAGCUUGGAUGGUUAGUUCAUGUGAUGUAAAUUUCAUUAGAACAACCUAAUUCAUAGCGAAGGUUGUAAGAAAAACAGCUGACUUAGAAGGGUAAAGUUAAACUUAAAUGUUCCACAUUUUAUUUCAUGAAAAUCAGCAUUUUUCAGGGUCUAAAGUCAAAAGUGACUACUGUCCACAGACACAGCCAUCAGCUGAUCAUGAUCAUCACUUGUCUCUCCACCAUGGUCUUUAUUUUUGUCCCUCAUAAAUUUAAUAUGUCCUUGGGAAGGUCUACUUAACUGUUACCAUGUAGUUGACAUUCCCGUGGAUAGAAACAAGUGCCUGUUCUUCUGGAAUACAGUUACCCAAACACAUUUACAGUGGCAAUGAAAAUCAUUUAUAAUGCAUGUCAUGAGCUGAUGAGUGGUACCUGGAACAUUGUCGAAUGACCGAAUAACACUGCUAAUAUCCGAAUAACACUUGUAAUAACCGAA